rnacentral:rRNA from 1 species
UACGUAGGGUGCAAGCGUUGUCCGGAAUUACUGGGCGUAAAGGGCUCGUAGGCGGCCAACUAAGCCAGACGUGAAAUCCCUCGGCUUAACCGGGGAACUGCAUCUGAUACUGGAUGGCUUGAGUUCGGGAGAGGGAUGCGGAAUUCCCAGUGUAGCGGUGAAAUGCGCAGAUAUCAGGAGGAACACCAAUGGCGAAGGCAGCUCGCUGGGACGUGACUGACGCUGAGACGCGAAAGCGUGGGGAGCAAACAGG